GGGAGGUUGGCGUUGGACGUUCCACUCGCCAAAUGGGUCAGGUCCGGAAGGAAGCAGCCCUAACGAGAAUGGGCGGGUUAUCGUCCAGCCUCCCACC
rnacentral:SRP_RNA from 1 species